ACCUUUUUAAACACUUGCAUGGCACAUAGAAUUUCCAGGACUACCACUAGAUUGGCUGCCUAUUUUUUCCAGAAAGAAUUUAUUUGCAGCCUUCCAAGCAGCACUACUGAAGGCAAUGUCUCCCACAUAACAAGCAGCUUUUUGCACAGUCUGCAUCAAGAAACACCUUCUGGUAAGUACAGAACUUUUGAAUUUUUCUUUUCUUUUUUUUUUUUUUUUUUUUUUUGCAGUGCAUGAUAGCAUAUUUUCUUCUUGAAAUGUUCUAUUAUUUCCAGCAUUUCUGUCAUACAAGUUCAUUCUCAUUUUUAGUUUAGUUACUAACCCAGUGCCUAUCAGUUGCUUUCUUCACACAGUUCCCCCAGAGUCUCACCUGGAACUCUCCCAACUUUAUCUGGCCGGAAAAUCACAAUCCCUGUGACUGCAAGCCACGGGCAGAGGUGUGUGUUCAUUUCUCUCCUUGCUCUGACCUCUACCGCCAGGCUACAACCAGAGCCCCAGGCUGAUUCCAUCAGCACUCCAAGAGUCAGAGACAAACAUCUGGAAUUUAUUUGCUAGAAAUAAAAUAAGUGACAGCUUUUCAGGGGUUCUAGCUUGCACCUGUACUUCUAAAUCUCCCCCACGAAGGCAAGUUCUGAAGAAAUGUAAUCAGGAAUAGGAGGCAGCAGCUCUCCUGGGGGCCUGGGUGAGGGCCCAGGAAGAAUGGAGAUGAUGGUGCCCAGAGGCACGGGAUGCUCCGAGCAUUCCAACGUCAGCCGAAGCUGCAAAGGGGAAGGGAAGUGAGGAGCCCCAGGAGGAACUGGAGAGGUCAGGGCUGCAAACGAGGUCAUGAUGGAGGGGCAGAGGUCAAAAUAAUCAAACACCACCGCUGUCACCUGAUGGGAGGAGGGCACGAGGGUGCAGGAUGAACCUCUGAAAAUAUGCAGAGGAGGGAACAGGGAAUACACAGAGAGGAAGAAGGGCAGUGGAGAAACAAAGAGAGAGAAGGCCCUGCCAAUUGUUUGGAUGAAGGUUACCCCUGCCUAGGCACCGCGCUCAUUGUCUGCAGCCGUCUCCUUUCCUGCGGCUUUCCUGAGCCUCCCUGAGCACAGACAGAGCUCGUUCCAAAGCGGAAGGUGACUGAUGUGGUCCUGUGCUAUGGGCAGGUCCACACGAGGACCAGAUCAACUUUUUUAUUUUUACUUGUGUGGUGUGCAAGGUUUUCAUUGCAAGGGUUUAACGGCCUGGAGCGAAAGCUGGCCGUGUCUCAUCCUGCUUGGCCUGGCAGGCAGUCCUGGAGAAAGCUCACAUUUAGGGAUUGGUGUGAUCUUAGCAAGACAAUCCCACUGCAAAUGGAACCAAAGCCCUGGGCAUGCAAAGCAAACUCACACUGAUACCAACAGCUGGGCACUGCAUCCAGCUCACUUCUCUGCACACUGACUGCCAGUGAAGCAGGAUGCUGGAAGCACGGGAUCUCUGGACUGUGUGGGAACCAGGUGUGGCACUUUCUGACCAUAAAGAUACACAGACAGAAAUAACACUCUUCCAUUGCUCUGUGGAGUAACUCUAAACUGUUUGUUUUUUAAAAUAGAAAACUUCAGAAGAUUCCUUAGAAGACCUGCUUUCGUUAAGUGAUCUGCUGCUCUCAGCCAACCACACAAGCUGUUUGGGCAAAAUAGAAAUAGGAUCUGGAGAUGAGGUGCUUCCUUGUGUUCUGCAUGACAGGAGGCUAACAGGGUGCUGCUGUCAGAAUGAUCGAGUAAAGCUGCCCAAAACAUUGCCUGGAAAAACGGUUGAACUAAGGACUGCAUUGCUCAUCACUGGUUCUUGUCCAAGGGGAAGUUAAUAACCCUGUGCCACUGGCCAAAACACAAGCAAACCAAAACGUAAGGGGAUCAGGCCCCUGGCAGCAUGUCAGCACUCCUGAUCUCAGCCAGCUAGCAGAGGAGUGCUGCUGCACGCCUUGCUGGCAGUUCUCUGCCCCAGCAUGACAGCAAGAGCAGCAGCUUCAGGCUCAACAGUUUGCAGAAUGCUUCACAAGAUCUGGAUGGAGGUGGUUUCACAUAUACAUCCUACAGCACCAAAUGAUGAACCUUUCAAAGGUUCAAACCUGGCUGCCUCAGGAAGGAACCUAUUGAUAGCCUUCUGCAAGAGAAAUGUAUUCAUGAAAAAAUAAAAUAAGAAAUCCAAACGCCAUUUAGAAAAAUCACUGAAACAAACCUGGAUUUUUAUCAUGGCUCAACAUUUAAACUGUCAGCUUUAUCCUCACAAUAAGCAGGCAGCUCUCAUUUACAGCUGAACACCUACUUUAUUUAUGUAGCUAUGCUGCAUUUAACCUUACAUCCUGUCUGCUGGGUGCAUCCGGCUCCACCGCUCUCCAUGCUGCAGAGCUGUAGCAUAAGGUGGGGGAGCUACUUUCCACAAGCCAAAAAACAGGAAAUUUGAUGACAUUGUUCAGUGAGCAGACGUCAGCACAGAGUGAUACAAAAGAGUAAACAACUUCCUAGCAGCAGCAGACAAAUGGGCCGGAACUACUGGAAUCCUGUGAUGUCUGGUGUGUUCUGCAUGAAAAUUACUGUCUCAAUGAAGCAGGGAGCGAUCUUCAUUUGAUGCAAAUUGGAGCUGCUCCCUGGAAAUCCAGGAACUACAUUAAUUUGGUCUGCGUGAGAUCUGAUCCCAAAUCUUUACCUAUGUGAUCAUGAAGACAUCAUUUUUAAGAAUUCGUGUGGUUAACAUUUGGAGUAUUUUGUAAAUAUUCUCAUUAUUUUAGGACACAAAAAGCUGCUGUGAAUAAAGAGGACAAAAUUCUGUGAACGUACAGGCAGCAGAACCAGAAAUGCAGGCGCCAUUUCAUUAUGAUCAUGCCACCAUCAAUAACAAUAACAUAUAUUUUUAUAUAUUCUUGCCAAAGCACUUUGAUAAGAAGCCAGCUCAACACCCCACCCAGGGAGGGAGGAGCAGGCAUGACAUCUCUUUCAUGUAUUUCAGCAUUUGCUUUGUGAAAUCUCCUCUCGUAUUUUCCAGCUGUGGGCAAAUGUCAAACCCGAUCCAAAAAAAUAACCUCUCAGCUGGGCAUACAGUGACUCAAAGCCAGGUUACUGCCAGCAGAAAGGAAAUGCAGGGGAAGGCUUUUUUGCUCUGACUGAACGUCAUUCUGCCCAUCUCUGCCCAAUUUAACGAUCCCUUAACCGUGAAGAGUAAUAUUUGACCACUGACCACAAACACAGAGCCCCAUUAUUACAUCCCAAGCAGCUGUAUCAAGAAAAAUGGCAUCCUUCAGAAAAAAACCUCAUCCCUUCUCAGCCACCGUAAAGAGACCACUGAGGCACAUCGUUUUUCAGCUCUUUCACAUUGCCAUUAAGCUACUUCUUUCAAAGGGAUGUAGUGUAUCAAGCCCUAGGCUAAACCAGUUCUUGAGGAGCUCAUGACAAACAGACCAGGAUACUGCUUGGGAAAAUCUGGGGAUCUUACCAAAAGAUGUUUCCCUGAGAGGAUGCAAUUCAAUAAGUACAAUCUCGGGACACUCCUCCUACCCAGGUAACACUGCCAGCCAAAAUCUAAGCAGAACAGACUGCAACGAUCAAAAUCAGCAGCUACAUUUAGAUCUGUCCACUCUCAGUAGGAGAGAGAAGAGGGAAAAGCCAGAUGCUUCUUAGUGCUCCUUGCCAAAUUCUCCUCUCCUCAGAGACACAAAAUGUAAAAUGCAAUCCUGGGGAGGCGGACACACCAAGAACCAUGUCAGUGCUGCAGGCAAAUGACACAGCUAACAACACAGGGCCAGAGCUGUCUGUAACGCAGCUCUAGUGACAAGCAGACUUAGUUCUCCCAAAACACUGGCAAGUGGCAUUGGGCUAACAAAUGGCUAGAAAAAAAGAACAGAAAGACAACCAAUUGCUUCUCAUUCCUCACUCUACUUACAUCAGGAUUUUCCUGGUUUCAAUUAAUUUGUGAUUUCGGCAGAGUUAAAACUAAUUUGCAGUGAGUGUUCUGCUUGAGUAAGGAACGAGGGGAGAUUCUGUUCCCUCAGAUUCUACAAGUGAAUGUGGGCAUGCAGCACAGAGAUGCAGGUAGGCAGAACCUGGCUGGCUCAGGCCAGCAGUGAGGGUGUUGCAAGCACACCUAAGCCACUUCCAGCAAACACCACAGGUGCAAGCUGCUGGCAGUGACGGAAUGGGAGCUAGCAAGCAGCUUACGCUGGCUCACAGCUUACGUUAGUACUCCCACAACACAUUAAGUCCUAACCAGAGAAAGGACGCUGCAUGUCUGUGCAUCACACGGCAUCUGACGCUGCUCCCAUCAUACUGAGGCCUCAGCUGCCCCGCUCAGCUGCUAACAAAGGUGCUAAUUUGCAGACCCUGAGCUGCUUUGACUGCACUGGGGCCAGGAAUGAACCCCACCAUGCACUCACUUUGUGCAAUGCAGGCUGUAGGUUGCAGAGAUUGCUCCUGGGAUCUGUCAAAGAAAGCUUUGGACGUGGCUUGGUCUUCUCAGCAGCGGGCACAGGCAUGGAACCAGGGCACCACAUCGUCUGCAGGCAGACAGGGCUAAUUGUUCACAAACCUCCUCUAACUUUGGAUAAAAGAAGGUUAAAAAUAUAUGUGACUGACCAACACUUCCAAGAAUAAACAAAUCAGUCUGGAGGAACGCCAAAGUAUUUAUCGGAGAAUGACGUCCAAUUGGGUGCAACAACAAAGUGAAAAAGUUAACAACUUAUCUGAGGGCCGGGAUUCUGCAAAGCCUGCCAGGAUGAAAACACUGUUUUACCACAGCUCCCUUUCCAUAUUUUCAUUCCAUUGCACCUUACAGCUGAUGCACAGAUAGGGACGGGCACCUGGCCCUGACCUGCAGCGACAGCGCUGUGACAGAACUGAGCGAAGCUCCACGGCCAUACAGCCCAUCUCUACACACUGAGCUUGUUUAGGGCUUCCCAUUGUGAAGCACUGAUUUAUGUCACCAGAGGUGAAUGCGGUGACCAAAGUCAGACAGCACGUGGCUCCAAAUAUAAAUGGAAGUACGGAACGCUAUUGUGUGCGAGCACAAAAACGGCACUGCGUAGGAAGGGUGGGUGGCCACGCCGGCCAUCUGCUGAUGGAGCCCUCGAGGGGCUGCUGAAAAAGCACCAUCCUCUGUGAGACCUCCCUUCCCCUUCCCAGCACGAGGCCCUCACAGCAGGUACAGCACAGGACACAGAGCACUCUCCCACCGUCCCUACAGUACCGCACCACAGAGACUGGCCCUGCAGGCAGGCCGCCAGCUCCUGGCCUUUCCCGUGCGGCUAAACAGAGACUCGUCUCUCUCAUUCUGCAUCUGGAAUGAUCACUGCUAUCACCUACAUUCAACUGAGUUUUUACACAAUGGUUUGUUUCAUAGAAGUACGUUUUGGAGCUGUACUUCUGCAGCGCGAUGUUACGGCGCUUUCUGAUCAGCUCAAACGAGCAAUAAAACCUCCUAGGCAGGGCUUUUGGGAGAGCUAACCUGGAGGCCACUCGCUAUGGCAUUUCCCAUGUUUUACACCUAUUUUGAGUCACUUUACAUUAAAUUACAAACAGACUGAACCGAAGCUCUUUCUUUCCCCCAUCCACAAAGGCGAAUGUGUUUCUUACAGGCACCCUGCACAGUGCUAAGCUUUGUUUCUACACAGAUUUUGACAUAUGGCCGAAGUUAGACCUUAAAUUAGAAUAUUCCUCUUUGAAUUGAGAAAUGAUCUUUCUGUGCAAAUGAAUAGUGUAUUCAGUGUGGAUAAAGCUUCUGCUAUUGCACAGUCCAUCUUAUCGACUGAUGUCAUUUCCUUACUCGCUUCUGUAAUAUUAAUAAUCACCAUAUAGCCAGAGAGGUCAUAUACUAGGAAUGUAUACUUUAAGAUUCUUUGACAUUGCGGAAGAGUUUGAACAAAAAAAUCAAUGUUUCUGGCUAGAUGGAUGCGUGGAAUGGCUUGCAGGGAUGGCGUUACGUCGCUUCAAGGUGGGGAUAAAGAAACCUGUGCUUCGGGAAAGAGACCUCAGACAGCAAGGGUUGAACACGGAAAGGAAAAUCAUUGAUAAGCAAUGAACCAGUCUUUCACUAAGAAGCAGAAAAUGGCCAUAAACAAUGUCAUCUUGCUGAUGUGACCAAAGGAUCACAUAAAAAUCACAAAAAUCUGCUGCACGGGUGCCCACACCACAGGGAAAUAAUGAGUGCAUUUUGAAAACCGUGGCUUUGCUAAAAAAGAGAACCAAGACAUCCUUUAGCGUCUGUGACUCACAAAGUGCUUCACAUCACCAUAUGGAAUUGCGCAUGAAGUGCUUCUCUUCUGGAAGAAAUGAUAAUUACUCCGUUGAACAGCAAAUGUUUCUAUGUGGAGAAUUUAAAAUCUGUAUGAAAUGCUAUGUAGAGAGUGUAAAGUGAAGGUGGUCUCUCACACACUCUCUUCCCUUUUACAUGGCAGAAAUCAUUCUUUAAGUAUUUCAGAGCUCAGAAACAGCAUUCUGGGAAAGAUCCAGACCCCGAUGUGACAAGGUUUUAUAACCCAAGCAAUUCUGGACAGAAUUUUCUUCCUAACAGUAGUUUGGCUGCGUAUUCUCCCCAGAACGCAUUAUUUUCUCUCCACCAGUGAGUAGCAACGUUACCACAUCUAGCAUCUCUUUAGGGGACCUCAUAAUAUUUGCUCUUUUCCUCAAGGCCUAAGGGCCAGCCUUAGCCUGGGGCUAUGGAGCUGUAUGAGAUUACCAGCUUUCCUGGCAAAAAACGUUACUUCUGCCUCUUGCAGAUGCAAAAAACAAACAAUCAAACAAACAAAACCCACCUUGAAUUGCUUGAAUCCUAAGGAUUCAAACAUCAGAAUGUAAGGAGAGAGAACCAAAGUGUGCUUUUAUUGAACAUAAAUCCAUUUCCCAAGCCCAGAGCACUUUUUUUUUACUGGAAUAGUGAUUUUUAAUUCUCUGGAGUUGGCAGUACCGCACAGUGCAGCAGAAAUGGGUCACAACUGCUGUAGGACUUUGAUCUGAGCAAGACAGGCAUUAAGCACUCAGCAAAACAGGGUAAAAGGGCAAGGAUCAGCUUGAUUAAGUCUUGCUCCUGAAGCCAGCCCUCCAUUAAUAUUCAGAUGGCUGUUUUCAGCAGCCAGUUCCCAAGUACAGAGCUGCCUCUUGUAAGGGAGAUGAGAAUCAGGAAACCCAGGGCUUAGCACACAGUCUGACAGUCCCAGACAGACAAGUAACCUGGGCUAACGUGCAGCACAAAGGCCAAAGGUGGGAACUGCUGCUUCUAAUGCAUGCCCUUCUACAGCAGCAAGCACAGAACCAGGUAAGCCUGCAGAGCACAAACUGCAGCCUGGGUCAGGAGACAGCUCCCAGCAGCCAGACCCAGUUUCUAGGAAGUGCCCAGAGAGCACAGCCACUGACGUCCACGGGAGCCCUUCUGCUAAAAAAGGCAGCCCUGCAGCCCCACGAGGAGGGGACUGUGCUCAGGGCAACGUGUGAAUGCCUGCUUGCCUCUUACCAAAAUCCAGAGAAUGUUUAAGUUAAGUUCAUGCAUGAUUGCUUUGCUGAAUCAUGGCUUGGUGCUGUACACAAAGAAGUCUAUAAUAUGCAUUCAUUUUCAGUCUGACAACCCAGACAUUAUACAAAUUAUAUGAAUUACAUCUUGUUCUUAGGAUUGCGCUUGGACUGAUUUUGUCAGUCCCUAAAGAGAAUUUCACUGGAUAUUUAUUACAACAGCUGGGAUUAACUAUGUGCUCCAGUAAAGACACUAGAAAUCCUAGCAGGAGGUAACUGUGUAACUACAUUUCCCAUAGACUUUACUUAUCUUACUUAGUCUGAAUGAGACUCUGGCAGAUCAGAAAGAAUAGAGGAAAUGGCUGUGUAAUGCCUAAUGACUGCUCAGAACAGAAAAAUGCUUCUUCUAUUAUCUUGCCUUGUUAUAAGGGAAUGGGUUAGAGUACACAGCUUGCUUAAAUAGGAAAUCACGGCCACGAUCAACCAAAGCUUUUAAAAGCUGUGUGCGCACAUCGUACAGCAUCAGGUAAGCUUUGAAUCAUGUUGAAAAUAGAGUAAUUUCUGUUUGAUAGGAAGCUGUGGGUUUGACUUUACAGCAAAAAAAAAAAAAAAAAAAAAAAAGGCAAAAAAUUGAGUAUCAAACUUCCCUGCAGCUAAGCCAAGGAAGACAGAGCAAGUGCUCUCACGGGACUAGGCAAUAAAUGCAGCAGCACCUCCGUGAUACUGGUACUGGUAAAUCCAUACUCCGUCUCUCUGCUGUCUGACUCACCAUACACCAACCAACAAAGCAGUGCAGCAGCGGUUGUGUUCCCACAGAUGCAACAUGAACAAGCAGAGAAUGCUGUCCUGGCCUGAACAGGCAUAGCUCUUACAGCCCUCAGCUGCACCAGCAGGAAACUACAGCCCACCAAAACAGGCUUUGAGCUUUUAGAAACAAUAUGUUAUAGUCUUCCCAUUGUGACUUAUGCCAUAUGUCACACAUGCCAGGCAUUAAUGUCAGCCCAACACAUACCAGGAUUUCUAAACCUGCAUGCCAAGAAAGGCACCUCCAGUGCUUUUAGUCUUGAAUUUUGCCCGCCUGGGCAAUUUAAUUGAACUCAACAUCUUCUGAGGCAAACUUACCACUGACCCAGGUGAGGACCUGACCCUUUUUACACAAUUAUUUAGGAAGCUGCACUUUUCACAGCUGCACUGGUUUGAAGUACGUAUGUUUCACUGCCAACAGCCUUCUGGAUGUUACAGCACCAAACAAUCGAGCAUCCCAAACAGAUGACAUUAAAAUCCCACUCCUUACAAACAAGAAAAGCAACAAUGGCACUGCACAGGCUGAGCACAGAUCUCAUCAUCUGUUCACCUUGGACACCUAUCAGGUCGCUGGUCGUUAUUCCACCAUGUUUACAAUUAUUAAUCCAAGGACCCAAAUUCAUUUAAACAUGGAUGACAGAUUUUGAUACUUUUUGCUCCUGCUGUGCAAAACCUUAUUCCUUUAGAAGUCUAUACGAAGCAAGUAUCUAGACUUGCAACUUGAUUUAUGCUUAAACUGAAUCUGGGGAGAUAGAUUUUGAGAGCAAAUGUAGCAAAAAACCCUUCACCCCAGCACUGUGAGCAGAUCCAAAUGAGCAGCCAACAAAUAACCCACUGCACAUCCAGAUCUCUGGGCAAACACAAGUUGCCCUGAGCUCCUCUGAGAUGUCCGGACCUACACCAGCAAGAGGCCAUGCUCAGAACAGAAUUUUCAGGGUCUGCAUGAGUGAACUCUUUUCAUUUUUAAUCUUUUCACAUGGCUUAGCAAUUACAUUUCUGAAGUCACAGGCUGCGGUUUCAUCGGGCCAGGAUUCUGCAAACCACUCGCAGAGCCAUGUGGCAAAGCGAGGUCCCUGGGCUCAUCCGUUUGGUUGAGAUGAGUCCUGCAGUGAUGCUGCCUGUCCUGCUGGAAGGAGCUGAUGGGGACUGGAACCUGUCAGGGAGGUAAAACAAUGUGAGGUGCUACCUCUGAGCAACAUCUUACAGAUGGCAAUUAAUUCCUGCAGAAACAGUUGUGGGCCAGAACAGCUCAAGCUCCAGGACAGACUGAUAGCAGUCAAGUCAUCCAACAUUUUUCUAGACGUCUUCUUGGGCCCCAGAGCUUUGUCACAGGUAACAAAGGUCUAAGGCUGCUCUGGGGUUAAUGCAUCCCUUCCCAAUUCGACAUAUUCUCCAUUUGGAUGUUGUUCCUGUGACGGAUGAAAACCAUCCCUUUAUUUUGUUGUCUGUCCUCAGACAAUAAAGAAAUCUCACAAAGGGUCAAAAUGUAUCAUCUCUGUUGCCAGCUAACAAUUCCUUAUUGCCAUUACUCAUUUAUACUGUUUAUGUUUUCCCAUUGCCAUAGUAACAACACAGACCGCUACAAAGAGCCUGCAUGAAAUAAAUCAAUGGAGUCUGCAGACCUGAAGGCUGCUCAAUUAAACAACAGUUCGGAUGGGGGGGAUGAGAAAAGCUGCUACAUGUUUACAUAGGACAGAUUUUUAUCACUCAUACACUACUAACUAGCAAACAUGAUGUCUAAAGAAAAUGGGACAGUAAAAAAUCUAACAGGGAAUAUAAUACAAAGAGGAGGACUUGCAUGAGAUGGUUGUGAUCUACAAAGCACUUUAAGGAGACCACAUCUCAGGUGUCUCUGCAGCUAACCAAGGGGUUGAGGGAUCAUGGGGAGACCUAAAUCAAGCCUCUUUUGGCUGGAUUUGGCACCUUCUAACAACUUUUAUUGCUGUUUGUGCAAUAGGAAAGCCUCAAGUGCCUUUGCAGCUUUGCUCUCUCUCCAACUCCGCUAUGCAUGUUUAUUUGCACUGCCCAAAUAUCCAGGAGCCCUCUUCACAGACUGGGGCAUGGUUGUGCUGUAUCAACAACAUGAUGGGCAGCAUCUUACAGAGCAAAUAUAAGGCAUGGAGCAAACUAAAGAAACAGCACUGGCCGUAGCAGAAGGCAGCACUUCCAACAGACUGAAGACAGGCAGUUACUGGGUCCAGCAUGGUUGGAUCUGACCCCGCACCCAUCAGCAGCACUGGCAAGCUUUUCUGAACAGCAAACAAGUGCAAAGCAUAUCCAGUGACAGAAGUAUCUGCAUUUCCAAUGGGCAGAGUCCUUCCGCCCUGCCCUUUUCCUGCUUUCCCUGGGUAAGCCCAGGUACAAGCCUGUAUGCAAAAUGAAGGCUGGAAGGACGUAUGGCUGUUCUCUAUCAGAAUGCUGGGGCAGAAAAAGAGCAAGGAGGGAAAAUAACUACAGCAGCCAAAGUAAAACCCUGUCAGAAGAAGAAAUAGGUAUCAACUCACCAUGAGUAAGCAUAGGCUUGAAAUAAAGAGGAUUAGAAACCCUCAGAAGAGGAAGGAUCUGGAACAACCUUCUAAUAAGAACAGGGAACGGCUGAAAAGUAAUUAGCUUUGAGAUGGUACAGGAUGCAUUUAUGACAGACAUUUAAUGCUGUGGCUGCCCAUAAUAGCAGAGGAGUGACCUCCACAACCCAGGUCAUCCCUCCCACUGCAGUAACUGUCUGUGACCCCAGAACACAGAAAAGGCCAAAAUCCUGUUUGUUCAAAGCCCCUCUGCUGAUCUGCUUAUUUUGUCCUUAAUCCACUGCUACACCAGCCAGUAGAAUAGCGAGCAAGCAGAAUGGGAAAAAACUGUUAAUCUAAGAAGAUGCACAAAUAGAAUAGAUCAGGAUAUCAAAACCAAAAUGUGUUACUAUUGAAAUUCAGCUUCUAAAAUCUGCCAUCUCCAACUCAAAGCAUAAAAAUGCAAAAGCGAUUGGGGAAUCAAAUCUUCAUGUUUUAUGUUUGGCAUUAAACAGGUCAUAAAAAAAAUAUUGACUUUGGCUCUUUAGGCCUCUAAUACUUCAAAUAUAAUUACAACCAUGCCUUGACUGAAAAGUAAUCUCAAAAGUCAGCAUGUGAAUUUAGGGAUCUCAAAAAAAGCAGCCGCACAGCAGCACACAGAGCUCAUCCCAGAGAAAGGCAGAGGGCAGCCUGCACAGCCACGCAUGACGUGCAGCUCAGGCCGCCUCCCGUUUUGAGAGCCUCAGGUAACAAUCCCACAGCUUGUAUACCAAAGGGCUGUAAAUUCUCUGUUUAUUUGCUCAGCUACCCAGGCAGCGUGACUCUGCUCUGCUGCUCGUCACACAUGGCACUGCACAGCCAGUGUCAGGCUGCAGGACCUGCUCUGGCACAGCAGGCAAACCUCAGUGGCUCUGAGCUCCCUGCCCGCAUGCUGAUGAUGCAGCCUCACUCCACGCCUACUUGACUCGCCUUAGCAGUGCAAUGACUAAAGACAGGACUCAUCCUAACAAAAGGCUCCAAAGAAACCAAUGAAUUUGGCAUAAACUUUCAUCAAGGAAAGCGUUAUUUAUUUAUUUAUUUUUCUGUUUACAAGUUCUGUAAUGCCCAGCCAGAAGUCAGCUUAGGUACUUCAUGCAAAGCACCCAAAUGGCAUUUCAAAACUAAAGCAGCAGGUUUCCAUUGCUCUCAGUACAGUCGGUUUGCCCUCCCACUUGGUGGUCUCCUUGUUCCCUCCCAGCUACAGCAGCCCAGAAGGCUGCUCUCCUCCCCAUUUCAGGCGUUUGUAUUUUAUCAGCUAAGGAGAAGCUGGGCUGGGUCUUGGCAGCAAAGUAGGAGACUUCCAAGGACUUCCUGAUGUGAAAACAUUUGUAACUUCCAGUCAGUAAAAGUCUCAUCAGGGAUGGGGCAGUGUAAGGUCUUCAAAAGAUAUAGUUAUAAAACUUCUCCAUCUGCACCUAGAGUUCUUGUGCUCUUUUCUGAUAGCUGCUAAUUGGUUCAAUAUCUGAACCAUAAAGCAGUUAAGAUUACAAUCUAUUUGGCCUAUUUUACUUUCAAAGACAUUUUUCUUAAUACACUGCUGGCAUGGUAUUCAGUGCAAAUGCACGCACACAGCAGUAUACACCUUUCCCACGAGCAAGAAGGUUUUACACUGCAGUUAUCACAGAGUAAAUGGCCAUAAAUUUCCAGGAGACAGAAACGUAGGGCCCAGCCCUGGGAAUGAGCUGUAAGGUCCAUGGCCUAGCAAGGUCUGCUGAGAAUGGGAAAGAAAUAGGUGAUAGAUCACAAACUGGUGCAGGGGAAAAAAAAAGGAAAAAAAAAAGAUGAAACAACCAAGAAUGCCGUGGACUGGUUCCUUUCUAACCCAGCCAUAACCGAAGCAAAGUCCAGCUGGCCAGGCCAGAGGUGCAGUGGGAGGAAUCCGACACAAGUGCAGGUAAGCCAGGAGCUUGAAUAUCCACGGACCUUGGAUCCACUUGCAAAAUCCUCUAGUGCUGCAAAUCCCACUCCCAUUCCGAGAAGCAUGAGCUCUGAACCCAUUCACACCUUGUCCAGCCUUACUGCCACCAAGGCCAGGUCCAACUUGCCAUCUUUGGUGUCCACAGGUGUGAGAUGGUACAAUCAAUAGCACAGCUCUCUUUUUCCCUCCUGCUGCCUACCCUCUAUUAGCUCAAUUUGAAUUGUUCAUGCAGGGAAACAACAAAUGCACAAGGCUGGGCCAUGCUCUGGAGUCUGCAGCAUCAAAGAGGUUGGCUAGCAGGGCAGAGCAGGAGGUGAGAACUCCUCAUGCUCUUUUAGGGAAACAGGACAUCAGGUAUGGCAGAACACUGAUUUUUCCAGUUUUCUCCAUAUGUACAAGGGAUCUGCUCUGCUGGACAUCAAAGAAAGCCACCAGGACGAUGGGAAUCUUUACUUUGGCAGAAAAUGGCAUGUAGCACAUAAACAAACAUGAGCACUAAGAUGGGUGUUGGACAGCUGGGGUUACGUUUGCUACCCGUGCCUUCCCUGCAUGACUGAGUGCUAUCUGGUUUUUGAUUCAUCUUUGCCUCAUUUUUAUGGGUUUAUUUAGAAAAUUUUAUAAAGCAAUAAACAACUGGUUAUCUAAGGAACCUGAAGAAAAGUGCACACAAAAUGCCUCAUUUAUACCACACAUUCAGGCUCCCGCUGCCUACUCUAUGUGAUUUGUUGUUAAACCAUAUAGAUUCUGAAAACUUCUGCUCUGCUACUUAAUUUGUCCAACAGAGCCUGUUUUGUUGGCCCCCAGGCUCUCUGCAGGGCCUGUUUUCCCAGACUCUCACAGGGGCGGAUAGAGCUGCCUUGAAUGAGGAGUGUCAUAUUUACUGUGGGCUGGGAAAAGAUGAGGGCUUUGCUUAGUGCUGACAUGUGUCGACCUCAAACCUGCAAUAAGUGCAUUUUUAGAAACAGAAUUGUCUGUAUGCUUUUGUCUGGACCUGACUGCGUCGUAUCACUUAGACGAAGAGGCGCAAGAGGAUUGUGAGGCCACAUAAGACAGGAUUAUGACAGCGAAUCAACUGGUCAUUGGGAAUAAGCUAAUUAGAAAGGAAGAAUCUGCAUGUAUGCACAUCUUACUGAUCAGCGACUGGGAAAGUAUUGGGAAAAUACAUGGCAGCUGAACUGGAUUAUAACCUGAUAUUGGAGAGAGAAAAACAGCCUUCCUUUGAGGACAAGCGAGCAGAAAAGCAGCAGAUCCUGUUGAUGAGAACCGCCCCAUACCACUGUGCUACUGCUCCUCACACGAACAGCAAGGCUGAAGUUCAGGAAAGGCGACAGACCUCAGCCACCGUGACAGCAGGGCAGGACAGCAAAUUCCUGAGCGAACCAUGCUGACACAUGAAAGACAAAGAGGAAAAGGAUUAUAUCUCUGCAGAAAUAUCCCGGCCAGGGAGCAGCACCUAGACUUCCCUGAUGACAUUCACAUUGUUUACACACUGGCUUGGGCUUUUUCCACACAGUUACCAAGUUCCUCUCUCAGUCAAACAGUGCCUUUGAAAUGGUGUACAAUGAACUAUGCAAUAUUUUCCUUCUUUUUCAUUUAUUAAUGAUUGAGAACUAUUGAUCCUUGAAGGCCUUUUAAAGAUUUGUUCCAGGCUACACAAGACUUCUUAGCUAAGAACAGAGCUAACACAGGACAUAAUUAAGCAGCAUUAAAGUUUGGCCCUUGUGAAAACAGGAGAAACUUUUAAAUUGACAUCCAACACGAAGCAACCGAAGUUACUCCCCCAGGCUGGAGCCUGAGCGCUCAGUGCAGUAACAGCCACCAUCCCCAGAGAAGGCUGCGACUCGCGGCUCUGCACCAUUCACAGCCCACUGGUGUGUUCUUACAGCUCACAGCAUCUGCACACACCCGGGAGUAUUCCGGCUCCAGGGCCCAGCUGUCAGCUGCUGCACAACAACCACCGCUAACUCACUGUCACUGGGAAAUCAUUUACUUGGUAACACGCAGAGCUGGCUGUUCUUGCUGCAGAAGAAAGCAGUUCCAAAAACAUAAGGAUGCCUUUCCAAACCUCAGCGUUCACCACUUGCUUCCCCACGUAUUCCAAACUCUUCUUUUGAGAUUUUAAAAUCUCUUGCAAUACAGACUUCUAUGAAGAAACAGUUCAUUCAAUAGUUUGUUUGUGCUCAUGAUUUGCCUUCAUAAACAAAAAGAUCAAAUUGGUGUUUCCCAAACUGCUUCUCACAGUGGAGGAGGAAAUGAAAAGCGUACCCGUGCUGUGCCAAUGAUGGGGUAGAAGUGCACUCGUUCCAAUGGCACAGAUUUGCUCCCUGCCUCUGCUCCCCACAGGGCUACGUUCUUUAAGACUGGGGCCCUCGAUCCCACAGACUCUCAUGCACCGAGCAGCACGUUGCAUCUCACAGGACUCAUUCCCAGGUACAGCUCUGGAGAAAGCAGAGCUACGGCUGUCACUGAAUGCCACAGGAGCAACUGCAAACACCAACGAGACACGGCGCCUACAAAAGCUGAAGGCAGAGCAGCACCCAGACUGCUGACUGAACCGCGCGUCUCUACAGGACUAGAAGUGAUGCAAUCAUGGCAUUUCCAUCACUUCACAGCUGUGAUUCUGACUGGAAGGGCACGGUGGCAAAACCAGAUUUAACGUAAGCAGUGUUCCUCAGCACCCUUUUAAGAAAAUAAAACAAAGCCAAACAAACAAUUUAAGACAAAGUAAUAAUCUGAGCUGACUUUGCAGUAUUUGACUUGCUUUCAAAACCAUGUUGUGUUUUUAGAAAAUACUGCGGGUUCUGUACUCUCUGUGGUAUUUCCAGCGGACACAGCUCUUCCUGUGGUAUUAGACCUGGCACUGCCACAAGAACUUUGCCCCUGAUUGUCUCAAUGAAAACACCACAGAAAGGAACACUUUCCACGACCGACCGAAAACAUCUCAACCAUAAAAUACAGUGCUGCUUCUGCAGAGGAGAAAACUGCAUCUCCAUAUAGAAGCACGGUUAGAAAUGUCCAGAGG